GGCUAGGCGCGGCUACCAUGCAGUCGAGCGGAACGAGUUAUCUGAACCUUCGGGGACGAUAACGGCGUCCAGCGGCGUAUGGGUGAGCGUGCCUACGAAUGUCCCCGAUGUGGGGGAUAACCAUUGGAAACGAUGGCUAAUACCGCAUAAUGCCUACGGGCCAAAGAGGGGGACCUUCGGGCCUCUCGCGUCAAGAUAUGCCUAGGUGGGAUUAGCUAGUUGGUGAGGUAAUGGCUCACCAAGGCGACGAUCCCUAGCUGGUCUGAGAGGAUGAUCAGCCACACUGGAACUGAGACACGGUCCACACUACUACGGGAGGCAGCAGUGGGGAAUAUUGCACAAUGGGCGCAAGCCUGAUGCAGCCAUGCCGCGUGUAUGAAGAAGGCCUUCGGGUUGUAAAGUACUUUCAGCAGUGAGGAAGGGGGUGUCGUUAAUAGCGGCAUCUCUUGACGUUAGCUGCAGAAGAAGCACCGGCUAACUCCGUGCCAGCAGCCGCGGUAAUACGGAGGGUGCGAGCGUUAAUCGGAAUUACUGGGCGUAAAGCGCAUGCAGGUGGUUUGUUAAGUCAGAUGUGAAAGCCCGGGGCUCAACCUCGGAACUGCAUUUGAAACUGGCAAACUAGAGUACUGUAGAGGGGGGUAGAAUUUCAGGUGUAGCGGUGAAAUGCGUAGAGAUCUGAAGGAAUACCAGUGGCGAAGGCGGCCCCCUGGACAGAUACUGACACUCAGAUGCGAAAGCGUGGGGAGCAAACAGGAUUAGAUACCCUGGUAGUCCACGCCGUAAACGAUGUCUACUUGGAGGUUGUGGCCUUGAGCCGUGGCUUUCGGAGCUAACGCGUUAAGUAGACCGCCUGGGGAGUACGGUCGCAAGAUUAAAACUCAAAUGAAUUGACGGGGGCCCGCACAAGCGGUGGAGCAUGUGGUUUUAAUUCGAUGCAACGCGAAGAACCCUUACCUACUUCUUUGACAUCCC
rnacentral:rRNA from 1 species